GACGAACGCUGGCGGCGUGCUUAACACAUGCAAGUCGAACGGGCCUUGUCCCCUUUUUUUUUGGGGGUGGGGUUAGUGGCGAACGGGUGAGUAACACGUGAGUAACCUGCCCCUCACUUCUGGAUAACCGCUUGAAAGGGUGGCUAAUACGGGGUGUUCUGGCCUGCUCGCAUGGGUGGGUUUGGAAAGAUUCGACCGGUUUUGGUUGUUUUGGUGGGGGAUGGGCUCGCGGCCUAUCAGCUUGUUGGUGGGGUGAUGGCCUGCCAAGGCUUUGACGGGUAGCCGGCCUGAGAGGGGGGGCGGUCACACUGGGACUGAGACACGGCCCAGACUCCUACGGGAGGCAGCAGUGGGGAAUAUUGCACAAUGGGCGCAAGCCUGAUGCAGCGACGCCGCGUGAGGGAUGGAGGCCUUCGGGUUGGGAACCUCUUUCGCCAGUGAAGAAGGUCCUGCUCUUUGUGGUGGGGUUGACGGUAGCUGGGUUAAUGAAGCGCCGGCUAACUACGUG
rnacentral:rRNA from 1 species